GAUGAACGCUGGCGGCGUGCCUAAUACAUGCAAGUCGAGCGAACGGACGAGAAGCUUGCUUCUCUGAUGUUAGCGGCGGACGGGUGAGUAACACGUGGAUAACCUACCUAUAAGACUGGGAUAACUUCGGGAAACCGGAGCUAAUACCGGAUAAUAUUUUGAACCGCAUGGUUCAAAAGUGAAAGACGGUCUUGCUGUCACUUAUAGAUGGAUCCGCGCUGCAUUAGCUAGUUGGUAAGGUAACGGCUUACCAAGGCAACGAUGCAUAGCCGACCUGAGAGGGUGAUCGGCCACACUGGAACUGAGACACGGUCCAGACUCCUACGGGAGGCAGCAGUAGGGAAUCUUCCGCAAUGGGCGAAAGCCUGACGGAGCAACGCCGCGUGAGUGAUGAAGGUCUUCGGAUCGUAAAACUCUGUUAUUAGGGAAGAACAUAUGUGUAAGUAACUGUGCACAUCUUGACGGUACCUAAUCAGAAAGCCACGGCUAACUACGUGCCAGCAGCCGCGGUAAUACGUAGGUGGCAAGCGUUAUCCGGAAUUAUUGGGCGUAAAGCGCGCGUAGGCGGUUUUUUAAGUCUGAUGUGAAAGCCCACGGCUCAACCGUGGAGGGUCAUUGGAAACUGGAAAACUUGAGUGCAGAAGAGGAAAGUGGAGUUCCAUGUGUAGCGGUGAAAUGCGCAGAGAUAUGGAGGAACACCAGUGGCGAAGGCGACUUUCUGGUCUGUAACUGACGCUGAUGUGCGAAAGCGUGGGGAUCAAACAGGAUUAGAUACCCUGGUAGUCCACGCCGUAAACGAUGAGUGCUAAGUGUUAGGGGGUUUCCGCCCCUUAGUGCUGCAGCUAACGCAUUAAGCACUCCGCCUGGGGAGUACGACCGCAAGGUUGAAACUCAAAGGAAUUGACGGGGACCCGCACAAGCGGUGGAGCAUGUGGUUUAAUUCGAAGCAACGCGAAGAACCUUACCAAAUCUUGACAUCCUUUGACAACUCUAGAGAUAGAGCCUUCCCCUUCGGGGGACAAAGUGACAGGUGGUGCAUGGUUGUCGUCAGCUCGUGUCGUGAGAUGUUGGGUUAAGUCCCGCAACGAGCGCAACCCUUAAGCUUAGUUGCCAUCAUUAAGUUGGGCACUCUAAGUUGACUGCCGGUGACAAACCGGAGGAAGGUGGGGAUGACGUCAAAUCAUCAUGCCCCUUAUGAUUUGGGCUACACACGUGCUACAAUGGACAAUACAAAGGGCAGCGAAACCGCGAGGUCAAGCAAAUCCCAUAAAGUUGUUCUCAGUUCGGAUUGUAGUCUGCAACUCGACUACAUGAAGCUGGAAUCGCUAGUAAUCGUAGAUCAGCAUGCUACGGUGAAUACGUUCCCGGGUCU
rnacentral:rRNA from 1 species